CUCUCUCUACGUUCUCCAGUAGUCUUGAUCCUCUCUCUACAUCUCCAGUAUAUGAUCCUCCUUCUUUACCCUCUCCAGUAGUCUGUGAUCCUCCUCUCUACGUUCCUCCAGUAGUCUGUGACUCCCUCUCUACCGUUCUCCAGUAGUCGUGUCCUCCUCCUACCGUUCUCCAGUUAGUCCUUGACUCCUCCUCUUACCCAUUCUCCAGUAGUCUAUGAUACUCCCUCUACCAUUCUCCAUAGUAUAUGAUCCUCCUCUCUACCGUUCUCCAGUAGUCUAUGAUCCUCCUCUCUACCGUUCUCCAGUAGUCUAUGAUCCUCCUCUCUACCGUUCUCCACGUGUCUAUGAUCCUCCUCUCCACCAUAUCCCAGUAUUAUGAUCCUCCUCUCUACGUUCUCCAGUAUGAUCCCUCCAUUCUCAGUAUCUUGAUCCUCUCUUUACCUUUUCCAGUAGUCCUUUGAUCCUCCUCUCUACCAUUUCAGUAGUCUAUGCUCCCUCUCUACCAUUUCUCCAGUAGUCUAUGAUCCUCCUCUACCCUUAUCUCCAGUAGUCUGAUGUCCUCCUCUCUACCAUUCUCCAGUAGUCUAUGCUCU
rnacentral:lncRNA from 1 species